CCUACGGGUGGCAGCAGUGAGGAAUAUUGGUCAAUGGACGAGAGUCUGAACCAGCCAAGUAGCGUGAAGGAUGACUGCCCUAUGGGUUGUAAACUUCUUUUAUAUGGGAAUAAAAUGUUCCACGUGUGGGAUUUUGUAUGUACCAUAUGAAUAAGGAUCGGCUAACUCCGUGCCAGCAGCCGCGGUAAUACGGAGGAUCCGAGCGUUAUCCGGAUUUAUUGGGUUUAAAAGGAGCGUAGGUGGAUUGUUAAGUCAGUUGUGAAAGUUUGCGGCUCAACCGUAAAAUUGCAGUUGAAACUGGCAGUCUUGAGUACAGUAGAGGUGGGCGGAAUUCGUGGUGUAGCGGUGAAAUGCUUAGAUAUCACGAAGAACUCCGAUUGUGAAGGCAGUUCACUGGACUGCAACUGACACUGAGGCUCGAAAGUGUGGGUAUCAAACAGGAUUAGAUACCCGGGUAGUC
rnacentral:rRNA from 1 species